UGGGGAAUAUUGGACAAUGGGCGCAAGCCUGAUCCAGCCAUGCCGCGUGGGUGAAGAAGGCCUUCGGGUUGUAAAGCCCUUUUGUUGGGGAAGAAAUCGUACGGGCGAAUAUCCCGUGCGGAUGACGGUACCCAAAGAAUAAGCACCGGCUAACUUCGUGCCAGCAGCCGCGGUAAUACGAAGGGUGCAAGCGUUACUCGGAAUUACUGGGCGUAAAGCGUGCGUAGGCGGUUUGUUAAGUCCGCUGUGAAAGCCCUGGGCUCAACCUGGGAAUUGCAGUGGAUACUGGCAAGCUAGAGUGCGGUAGAGGAUGGUGGAAUUCCCGGUGUAGCGGUGAAAUGCGUAGAGAUCGGGAGGAACACCCGUGGCGAAGGCGGCCAUCUGGACCAGCACUGACGCUGAGGCACGAAAGCGUGGGGAGCAAACAG
rnacentral:rRNA from 1 species